rnacentral:rRNA from 1 species
AUUGAACGCUGGCGGCAUGCCUUACACAUGCAAGUCGAACGGCAGCACGGGUGCUUGCACCUGGUGGCGAGUGGCGAACGGGUGAGUAAUACAUCGGAACGUACCUUAUCGUGGGGGAUAACGCAGCGAAAGUUGCGCUAAUACCGCAUACGCCCUGAGGGGGAAAGCGGGGGACCGUAAGGCCUCGCGCGAUUAGAGCGGCCGAUGUCUGAUUAGCUUGUUGGUGAGGUAAAAGCUCACCAAGGCGAUGAUCAGUAGCUGGUCUGGGAGGACGAUCAGGCACACUGGGACUGGGACACGGCCCAGACUCCUACGGGAGGCAGCAGUGGGGAAUUUUGGACAAUGGGGGCAACCCUGAUCCAGCAAUGCCGCGUGAGUGAAGAAGGCCUUCGGGUUGUAAAGCUCUUUUGUCAGGGAAGAAACAGCAGCUCUAACACAGUCUGCGAAUGACGGUACCUGAAGAAUAAGCACCGGCUAACUACGUGCCAGCCGCCGCGGUAA